rnacentral:rRNA from 1 species
GGGUUGUGAGGUUAAGCGACUAAGCGUACACGGUGGAUGCCCUGGCAGUCAGAGGCGAUGAAGGACGUGCUAAUCUGCGAUAAGCGUCGGUAAGGUGAUAUGAACCGUUAUAACCGGCGAUUUCCGAAUGGGGAAACCCAGUGUGAUUCGUCACACUAUCAUUAACUGAAUCCAUAGGUUAAUGAGGCGAACCGGGGGAACUGAAACAUCUAAGUACCCCGAGGAAAAGAAAUCAACCGAGAUUCCCCCAGUAGCGGCGAGCGAACGGGGAGGAGCCCAGAGCCUGAAUCAGUGUGUGUGUUAGUGGAAGCGUCUGGAAAGGCGCGCGAUACAGGGUGACAGCCCCGUACACAAAAAUGCACAUAUUGUGAGCUCGAUGAGUAGGGCGGGACACGUGGUAUCCUGUCUGAAUAUGGGGGGACCAUCCUCCAAGGCUAAAUACUCCUGACUGACCGAUAGUGAACCAGUACCGUGAGGGAAAGGCGAAAAGAACCCCGGCGAGGGGAGUGAAAAAGAACCUGAAACCGUGUACGUACAAGCAGUGGGAGCACGCUUAGGCGUGUGACUGCGUACCUUUUGUAUAAUGGGUCAGCGACUUAUAUUCUGUAGCAAGGUUAACCGAAUAGGGGAGCCGAAGGGAAACCGAGUCUUAACUGGGCGUUAAGUUGCAGGGUAUAGACCCGAAACCCGGUGAUCUAGCCAUGGGCAGGUUGAAGGUUGGGUAACACUAACUGGAGGACCGAACCGACUAAUGUUGAAAAAUUAGCGGAUGACUUGUGGCUGGGGGUGAAAGGCCAAUCAAACCGGGAGAUAGCUGGUUCUCCCCGAAAGCUAUUUAGGUAGCGCCUCGUGAAUUCAUCUCCGGGGGUAGAGCACUGUUUCGGCAAGGGGGUCAUCCCGACUUACCAACCCGAUGCAAACUGCGAAUACCGGAGAAUGUUAUCACGGGAGACACACGGCGGGUGCUAACGUCCGUCGUGAAGAGGGAAACAACCCAGACCGCCAGCUAAGGUCCCAAAGUCAUGGUUAAGUGGGAAACGAUGUGGGAAGGCCCAGACAGCCAGGAUGUUGGCUUAGAAGCAGCCAUCAUUUAAAGAAAGCGUAAUAGCUCACUGGUCGAGUCGGCCUGCGCGGAAGAUGUAACGGGGCUAAACCAUGCACCGAAGCUGCGGCAGCGACGCUUAUGCGUUGUUGGGUAGGGGAGCGUUCUGUAAGCCUGCGAAGGUGUGCUGUGAGGCAUGCUGGAGGUAUCAGAAGUGCGAAUGCUGACAUAAGUAACGAUAAAGCGGGUGAAAAGCCCGCUCGCCGGAAGACCAAGGGUUCCUGUCCAACGUUAAUCGGGGCAGGGUGAGUCGACCCCUAAGGCGAGGCCGAAAGGCGUAGUCGAUGGGAAACAGGUUAAUAUUCCUGUACUUGGUGUUACUGCGAAGGGGGGACGGAGAAGGCUAUGUUGGCCGGGCGACGGUUGUCCCGGUUUAAGCGUGUAGGCUGGUUUUCCAGGCAAAUCCGGAAAAUCAAGGCUGAGGCGUGAUGACGAGGCACUACGGUGCUGAAGCAACAAAUGCCCUGCUUCCAGGAAAAGCCUCUAAGCAUCAGGUAACAUCAAAUCGUACCCCAAACCGACACAGGUGGUCAGGUAGAGAAUACCAAGGCGCUUGAGAGAACUCGGGUGAAGGAACUAGGCAAAAUGGUGCCGUAACUUCGGGAGAAGG